GUUUUCAUGGUGUAGUGGUCAGCACACUCAACACGUAUUCGAGAGGUCCGUGGUUCGAGUCCCGGCGAGGGCG
rnacentral:tRNA from 1 species